UUUGUAAGCACCUUUCAUAUAUACUUCCAUGAUAAUUAGGUUCUUUUGUUCUCUGAACAAAAUAUGUAUCGAAUUUUAAUAAAAGUAUAUAUAUACCCUCUACUUUAUUUAAUUCCUCCAAGCUGAAACUUCUCCUCCCUUCUCUCUCUUUUUUCUUGUUUUCCUUUUAGCCAAAUAUUUUGGUGGGUGUUUGAGUGGUUCAUGGAUAUUGAUCUCUGGUGGACUCUUGGGGGGUGGUUGUUUUGUCAAUCAGAUUAUUUUUGCAUGGCUACGUUGAAAAAUUCAGAAUUCUCAACAUUUAAAUCUCAAUCUUUUCUUUACUUCAUUACCCUUUUCUUCAUUUUCCUCAUUCUUGUUCAUUCUUCUUCUGAUCCCAGCUUCAAGAAUUCAGAUCAUAAUCCUUCAUCUUCUACUACUAUGAAGUUACACCCAAGAAAAAUCCCAAGAAAUCAUCACAAAUCUUCAUCUUCUAAACCUAGUAGAGAAUUUGAAGCUGGUGCUCAUGAAGUUCCUAGCGGUCCAAAUCCUAUAUCAAACCGGUAAAUAAAUAUGGAUCAUUUCUCCAUUUGUGCAUGUCAUGCUCGUAAGAGAAGAUUAGAAGAAAAGAUAUAUAGCUAGCGCCGCUGCAACGGCGAUAACGGGUAUUCCCCAUUAAUGCUCUACUUGUCUUCUUCAGUGAGAAGUUUGUUACAGUAUCUUUGUUGUUAUCGUCACCAUAGUUAGCUAUCCUUUGCCCUUGUUUAUUUUUUUUCUCCACCGGUUUUUCUGUUUUGGACUUGUAUAGCAAGAGACAAUUUUAAUAUUUCAUAUUAUAUAUAUAGAUAUAUAGAAUUAAUAUAUGUAUCUAAAAGUACGACCCAGUACAAUACCAUUCAGUGGUGUCUGGGGAGGGUAGUGUGUACGCAGCCUUACCCCUACCCUGGGGUAGAGAGGCUGUUUCCAAAUAGACCCCCGGCAUAAAUCCCCAUACCAUUCAGUGGUGUCUGGGGAGGGUAGUGUGUACGCAGCCUUACCCCUACCCUGGGUAGAGAGGCUGUUUACAAUUAAUAUAUGUAUCUCUGUGUAACAAAUCUUUUAUUGUGUCUUGAACAUAUAUUGGUGCUUUUUAUGAAUCCAUUAGUGAAUUGCCCUUUUCCUUGGUCAUUUAUUAGAAGACAAUAUAUAUAGGUGGGGUUUGUUUGAAUUUUUUUCAAAAGACUGAGUUUGCAAAAAAAAAUGAUUUUUUGUUAAAACUUGGUUUAGUUUACUUCUAUAUGUGAUAUAUAUGGAUUCACUUUUUUCAUCUCUUUAAAUCAUCUUCAAGAUCAAGAUAAUUUAUGUCAUAUGAAGCUUUUAGCUAGAUCUCUCUUGGUAGUACUAUCCUUUUUUCUUUUUCACUAAAAGUUUUAUAAAGAAAAUGAAUUAGUAAAAGGAAAUUGUUAUUGUUGACUGUGUCAAGUUAAUGGUAUUUUAUGACUAGGGUUUUUUAUUAAUCAAUAGAGAAGGAAAGAAGGCAGAUCUUCCAAGGUUUGGUGGGUGAAUAGGAGUAGAGGACCUUUUUUUAUUUUGCCAUUAUUUGAUUUGAAUUGAAUUGCUUUGGACAUUUUGCUUUUGGUCUUCUCAGUGCACAAAUUUCAAGAAAGCUGAUGCCUAAGGAGCAUAUUAUGAGGCCAUGAUUUGAUAAUCA
rnacentral:lncRNA from 1 species